UACGGAGGGUGCAAGCGUUGUCCGGAAUCACUGGGCGUAAAGGGCGCGUAGGCGGCUCAUGAAGGCUGUGGUGAAAGUCCGGGGCUCAACCUCGGAUCGGCCGUGGCGACUCGUGGGCUGGAGCACUGUAGAGGCGGGUGGAAUUCCGGGUGUAGCGGUGGAAUGCGUAGAGAUCGGGAGGAACACCAGUGGCGAAGGCGGCCCUCUGGGCCGGGCCUGACGCUGAGACGCGAGGGCGUGGGGAGCGAACGGG
rnacentral:rRNA from 1 species